GAUGAACGCUGGCGGCGUGCCUAAUACAUGCAAGUCGAGCGAACAGACGAGGAGCUUGCUCCUCUGACGUUAGCGGCGGACGGGUGAGUAACACGUGGAUAACCUACCUAUAAGACUGGGAUAACUUCGGGAAACCGGAGCUAAUACCGGAUAAUAUAUUGAACCGCAUGGUUCAAUAGUGAAAGACGGAUUUGCUGUCACUUAUAGAUAGAUCCGCGCCGCAUUAGCUAGUUGGUAAGGUAACGGCUUACCAAGGCAACGAUGCGUAGCCGACCUGAGAGGAGGAUCGGCCACACUGGAACUGAGACACGGUCCAGACUCCUACGGGAGGCAGCAGUAGGGAAUCUUCCGCAAUGGGCGAAAGCUUGACGGAGCAACGCCGCGUGAGUGAUGAAGGUCUUCGGAUCGUAAAACUCUUUUAGUAGGGAAGAACAAAUGUGUAAGUAACUAUGCACGUCUUGACGGUACCUAAUCAGAAAGCCACGGCUAACUACGUG
rnacentral:rRNA from 1 species